rnacentral:rRNA from 1 species
CGGGAAUUUUGGGCAAUGGGCGAAAGCCUGACCCAGCAACGCCGCGUGAGGGAUGAAGUAUUUCGGUAUGUAAACCUAGAAAGAAUGGGAAGAAUAAAUGACGGUACCAUUUAUAAGCUCCGGCUAACUACGUGCCAGCAGCCGCGGUAAUACGUAGGGAGCAAGCGUUGUUCGGAUUUACUGGGCGUAAAGGGCGCGUAGGCGGCGCGGUAAGUCACUUGUGAAAUCUCUGAGCUUAACUCAGAACGGCCAAGUGAUACUGCUGUGCUAGAGUGCGGAAGAGGCAACCGGAAUUCUUGGUGUAGCGGUGAAAUGCGUAGAUAUCAAGAGGAACACCUGAGGCGAAGGCGGGUUGCUGGGCCGACACUGACGCUGAUGCGCGAAAGCCAGGGGAGCAAACG